rnacentral:lncRNA from 1 species
GUCUACAAUAUAAAAAUUGUCAAAAUCACUAUGGACUAGAUUGUGUUACUCGGGAGUUUUUGGGGCCGCUGAACAAAGCACCUGGUGCCCAGGAUUACUUCUAGGCACGUCAUCUGUAGUUUUACGUCCUAGGCACGUUAUCAUCACAUGAUCUUCUGGAAUUGCGAGGGCUUUCGGCUCUAAAUUGAUAUAAACGGAGUACUGUUUUACCUGCACUCUUCCACCACAAUUAGAGAAUGGAAGGUGGCUAGUAACUGAAGCAGAUGUUAAACCAGGUGAUCAGGUAACCAUUAAUACAAUAAUAAGAGUAGAAUGUCAUGAAAGUUACCAAUUAUUUCCUAAUAUUCCUCUACAUCUUUGUGAUAGCAACUGGGAUGAAAAAACUUUUCCAACGUGCCAAA